UGCCACAAGAGGAGUAACAUUACAGCAAAAAAUAUAUAGUUAUGUGCAAAAUGUUUAAUAAUUCAUGCAUAUGAAUAAUAAAACCUCAUUUUUUGUGUUUAAAAUAUAGGCAAUCAUGCCAGGAGAAAAAAGGUCCUUACUAGUUGAUCCUCUUGGUGAGUCUCAAAUGGACAUUAAAAAAUGCCUGGAAUCAACCCGGGCGUUCAUGCGCAAGAAAGGGUGCAAUGUUUCCAGGUGGACUUGUGGCACUGUCCCCCAUCCCAGGCAACAAGAUUCAACAUCUUGUGGUGUAUUUGCUUUGAAAUUUGCAGAACAUCUUCUUUCAAAUGAAGAAAUAGAUUUCUCAGCAAAGGCACAUGAUGUAAAUAGGUACAGGCUGCAAAUUGCCACCACACUUCUAUUAGAGACUGAUGAUUUAUCUAACUUGUGCUUUGUUUGUGGGGAAGCUACACAUGACACAGACAACAGAUGGGUAAUUAUGUCAGGUCUUGUUAACUAAUGCAUGUGAUGAUUAAGAAAUAUAUUGAAUUACACAUUCGUUGUAAAUUAUUGUAAAUGUGCUGCAUUGUAUGAUCUUGCUUUUUUCUUUGUUUACCAGAUUCAGUGUGACGAGUGUUGCAGGUGGUUCCAUCUUGUAUGUGUCGGGGAGCCUCCAACCGAAGGCUCUUUUUUCUGUACAACAUGUACAAA